GUCUUUAAAAUUAAAGAAUUUGGCGGUAUUUUAGUCUAUUCAGAGGAACCUGUUUCUUGAUUGAUAGUCCACGAUAAUUUUUACUUGAGCUUUAAAUUUAUAUAUCGUCGUUAGUAAAAAUUUUAGGAUGUAAUUUUUUCAGAUCAAGGUGUAGUUUAUGUUUAAGUUGGAAUGGGUUACAUUAAAAAGUUAGUAUAAAAUGGAUUUGAUAGUAAGCUCUAAAAUAUGCACAUAUCGCCCGUCGCUUUCAUUUUAAGGUGAAAUAAGUCGUAACAGAGUAGGCUUAUUGGAAAAUGAGCCUAGAAUGCAAAUUAGAGCUUGGGAAGUGUCUUGUUUACAUUAAGAGGUUAGUUGUGAAAUUCAACUUGAUUUGAAUUGUGAUUUUAUUAAUUUUUUUUUUGUGGUUUUUUUAGUAGAAGUAUUUUUUUUUUAAUAAUUUUUGAAAAAAAUAUUAUUAUAGGGGUAAGUAUUGAGAGAGGAGUUUUGAAAUUUUGUAAAAGAAGAUUUUAAUUUGUUGCCCCUUGUGUAUCGGGGUUUAUUAAUUUGGAUAUCCCGAAUUUAAAAGAGCUAGUUUUACUGUUGAAAAAGUAUUUUUAAUUUAUUUUUAGGUGUGAGAUGUUAUUCGUUUUUAAGUAUAUCUGGUUUUUUAAGAAAUAAGUUUAAUUUAGUUGCUAUUAAUAAAUUUAUUAGGGGAUAAGCUUUUAAAUAUAUUACUAAAAGUAUAAUAUUAUGGGAAUUUUAUAGGAUUAGAAUUUUUCAUUUUUAUCAUUAUGUUAUAGUUGGUUAUUUUAGGUUUUUUAUUAGAAUUUGAAUUUUAUUUGUGAUUGUUUGGUAAUUAUGAUGGAAUUAGUAAGGUUAUUUUAAGGAAUUCGGCAAAUUUUAUUUUCACCUGUUUAUUAAAAACAUGUCUUUUUGAUAAUGAUUUAAAGUCGGGCCUGCCCAAUGAUUAAAUGGCCGCAGUAUUUUGACUGUGCAAAGGUAGCAUAAUCAUUAGUUUCUUAAUUAGAAGCUGGUAUGAAUGGUUUGAUGAGAAAUAAGCUGUCUCUUGAAUUUUAUGAGUAAGUUAAAAAGCUUAUUUGAUUUAGAAAGACGAGAAGACCCUAUAGAGUUUUUUUGUUGGGGUGACAUGAAAAUUUAAUAAACUUUUGUUUUAAGUGGUUGGUUGAUCCUGGAAUAUAAGAUUAAAUUACCUUAGGGAUAACAGCGUAAUUUUUUUGGAAAGUUCUUAUUG
rnacentral:rRNA from 1 species